UCCAGAUCCUGUGCCCGGAAGUCAGCUUCGAUGCCGUUAACACAACGCUCUGACUGGCAACCCUGCACAAUAAAUUCAUCGUGUCUCCUUACAACAAGUCCAGAGGUAGAAUGGAUUCAAGAACUGAUGACCGUGUCUCGGUGAUUUCGUCAAAGACUAAGGCUUCCUACCUCGUAGCCAGCCCCUCUCCAAGGCAGAGGCCAUGAAGGAAGUUACAGGAGUCACUUCCAGACACACGGAUGUCCAGAGUCAUAAAAUGGUCAAUCACUGCUGGUGUCUCCUCUCAAAAUAAUGGUCAUAAAGGAUGAUAAUUUAAGGAAGAAAGAAGAGUACGUUACUUGGAAAUGUAAGGUAUAUUGUCUCCAUUAAAAACAUAAUUCAUCAUUGUUA